GAUGAACGCUAGCGGCAGGCCUAAUACAUGCAAGUCGAGGGGUAUGGGUUGCUUGCAACCCAGAGACCGGCGCACGGGUGCGUAACGCGUAUGCAAUCUACCUUAAUCAGGGGGAUAGCCCGGAGAAAUCCGGAUUAACACCGCAUAACAUUGAGUUGUGGCGUCACAGUUCAAUCAAAUAUUUAUAGGAUUAAGAUGAGCAUGCGUGACAUUAGUUAGUUGGUGAGGUAACGGCUCACCAAGACCACGAUGUCUAGGGGAUCUGAGAGGAUGACCCCCCACACUGGUACUGAGACACGGACCAGACUCCUACGGGAGGCAGCAGUAAGGAAUAUUGGUCAAUGGGCGCAAGCCUGAACCAGCCAUGCCGCGUGCAGGAAGACGGCCCUAUGGGUUGUAAACUGCUUUUGUACCGGAAUAAACCUUCUCUUGCGAGAGAAGCUGAACGUACGGUAAGAAUAAGGAUCGGCUAACUCCGUG
rnacentral:rRNA from 1 species